UACGUAGGGCGCAAGCGUUAUCCGGAAUUAUUGGGCGUAAAGAGCUCGUAGGCGGUUUGUCGCGUCUGCCGUGAAAGUCCGGGGCUCAACUCCGGAUCUGCGGUGGGUACGGGCAGACUAGAGUGAUGUAGGGGAGACUGGAAUUCCUGGUGUAGCGGUGAAAUGCGCAGAUAUCAGGAGGAACACCGAUGGCGAAGGCAGCCUGCUGGGCAGUGGCUGACACUGAGGCGCGACAGCGUGGGGAGCAAACAGG
rnacentral:rRNA from 1 species